UCUGGGAUUAGAUACCCUGUUAUUUAAGAUGUAAAUUAUUUAUUAAGGUAGUAGUAGUUAUGUUCUUGAAACUUAAAAAAUUUGGCGGUAUUUUAGUCUAUUCAGAGGAAUCUGUUCUGUAAUCGAUAUUCCACGUUGGACCUUACUUAAAUUUGUUUUGCAAUUUAUAUACCGUUGUUAUUAAAAUAUUUUUAAAAAAUGAUAAUAUUUAAUUUUUUAGAUAAAAAUUUAUAUCAAAUCAAGGUGUAGUUAAUAUUUAAGUAGAAAUGGAUUACAAUAAAUCUAUUUUUGGAUAUAAAUAUGAAAAAUUUGUUGAAAUUGGAUUUGAUAGUAAAAUUAUAUAGAUUAAUAAUUUGAUUUUAGCUCUAAAAUAUGUACAAAUCGCCCGUCACUCUCUGA
rnacentral:rRNA from 1 species